CAAAAAUAAGCUAUUUGGCGCCUCAAUCAAAAGCCCAUAAAGCUUAGCCAAUCAAAAGACGACGUUCCUUCGGUCUCGAGGGUCAUCCCUGCGGACCUGUGAAGAAGAAUGAUUCGGGCCAGACAUGAUAAAAGAUGAAGCCUAGACGAGGAGACGUCUCCAUCAUCAUCAUGUGACUCCCCUGGGACCAGCAAGGCACAGGGUGGCCAGCUGGGACAAGAGCCCAACACUCCAAAUGUCUCUCCACUAGUGGCACUUAUCAGGAAGAAGAGGUACCUCAAGGCUCCAUUUUCUUCCUAAUUCAGUUGUGAUUGUACGCAUGUGGUCACGCACGCACACACACAUACACACACACACACACACACACACACACACACACACACACACACACACACACACACACAUACACACACAUACACACACACAUACACACACACAUACACACACACAUACACACACACACACACACACACACACACACACAUACAUACAUACAUACAUACAUUACUUAUGUCAUAAAUGUGGCAGUGCUGGCAGCCCAUUUGGAUCCCAAGGAGCAACCUGAGCCUCGUCUGAGGGGAUGCUGGGAGUAAUGUAUUAGGGGGUUGGCAGGGAGGGAUGUGGCACAGGGGGGUGGGUCCUGGAGGCAGCGUCGGGCGGGUUAUGAGCAGCUGCCUGUCUGUAAAGACAGUGGGCGACGCUGCAGCAGCCAGGAGCACAGCGCUCCGGUUACAGUACCUGUCCAUAAAACCAGGCCCCUCGUCCCCCUUUUUCCCCUCCAGAGGCCCCCCAAGGUCCCUCGGCACGACCUACAUAUCGCACAGGCGACGAAAGCUGUGUCUAUGGGGCCACAAUCCCACAAACAAGGGGUUCUUUUUGAUGUCUGCUGCCCGACAUUGAGGGUCAGAGAUCCAAAUAGGAUUGGGUGCUGCCGGGUGGUACGGGUGGGUGAGUAGGGGUGUCAGGUGGUGGUGGUGGUGGUGACAAAUAGAGAGAUCCCAGAGUGAGCUGGGAUCCUAAAAGCAACGACCAGGAAUCAAUGACCAUCCCAUGUAUUGGUUUAUGUUAUUACUGCAUACCAAAUACUGUUAUAAACGUUUAGUAUUUCUAUAUACAUUGAUGAUAAUAAUAAUGAUAGAAACAGUACUGAUGAUAAUGACAAAAAUUGUGUUGGUAGUUAAAAUAAUGUAAUGUAUAAGCAGGCAAUGUGUUUUUUACACAGACCCUGGUUGUCAACAUUGUACCCACCAUGGCACACCACCCAGUUGAUCUCCUUGUUAAAAUAUCUUGCAUACCGUAUGACAUUCAGGAGCCGAUAAAGGACCGAGAGAGCAGAGUUAAGUCCGGAUUCCUUGUGUAGUCCCCGUGAAGGACAGUUUAUGGCGGAUUUCUUUACUGCACAGUUUGGCACACCCCUUUUUUUUUACUGGGAGAGGAGAAGGCUUAACAGUUCAGAAACUAGUAAUAAGCGCCAUGUGAACUAUACAGGUCCUUAAAAUGAGCUCUCAGAUGCUGUUUACAAGACCGGUACCUUUUAAGAGUCUGUCUUUUCCAACGGCGGAAAGUCAAAUUGCCCUCCUCUUAAUUAUUGUCAGGGUGCAUGAUUUUUAUGAGGACCAGUCACAAUGCGAUACACCUGACAAUUUAAUUUUGACUCUUAUUAAAAGAGAGCAGUUGAUUCUGUCCAUUUAUUUAUUUAUUUAUUUUUGUUGUCAUUUAUGUAUUUGUUUGUUUAUUUGUUUAUUUAUGUUUUUGUUUAUGUAGAUACAAAUACGAGGUUGACAUUUGGGCACGCUGAAAACAUGAUUGUGGCUUUGCGGUUUAGCAGCCUCUAGCACUUCUUACUAUGAGGUGUGAGCUUUGGCAGUGUGGGUGAGCAUGGUGCUCCGUAGACCAGUAGCCAGUAGGUGGUGGUAGUAGCACUAGUAUGAAUCAGACUCCUGUAUUGGCCAAUGAUGUGUAUGUCUAGGAUCUUGGCUCAGUAACCAGGGGAAGGGAGAGGGGGAGAAACGGAUGGAGGGGCAUUUGGUGCACUGUGCUUCCUGUUAGUAGGCACUGGGGAACUCAGGCCUUUACAGAAAUGACAUGCUGCUGACACUGAGAGCUUCCCGGGAGCAGCUCAGUAUAGCUGGAUCUUAUUGUAAAAGCUUGGGUAGCAAUGUGUUUGACUUGAAGCACAAUAUACAAUCAAUGUAGAAAGCCUCCCAAUGAAACCAUAUGUUGAUGGAACCAUACCUUGUUAUUACAAGGAUUUAUAGUCAGUGCAUUACAUCCCACUCAAAUCUGGAUGUUGGGAGAAAACAUUUCAAUGUUGUGAAUGGAAAUGCAGUUAAACUUGGUGCUAGCCAGGCGCUGUUUAGUCAGGGAUGGUCAGUGUUUAGUCAGGGAUGGUCAGUGUUUAGUCAGGGAUGGUCUGUGUUUAGUCAGAAUGCACCUAUCUGUGCCUCUGUCUGUCUGUUUCUUCUCUUUCAGAUGACUGUGGAUCAACCUGACCAACUGCAAGUUCGAGAGCGGUGAGUACCUCCCUCCCGUCCUCCUAACUAUCAAACCUGAUGAUUAGCAAAGAGAUGUACACACUGAAUGACUGAAUACAGUAAUGACUAAUGAUAAUGGAUCGUACUUAAUCCCUAUAGAGCUGAUCAAUCAAUGCCAUUGUCUCCAUGAUGUAGUGCCAUUGAUCAAGCGUCAUUAAAAUAUCAUCAAUUGAGCUCAUUAACCUAGACCUAUUGUGCUCUCAACACUCGUGGCCUUGAGCAUCCGGUUUUUAGUAAGAAGCAAAAGUGAUUGACAAGCUGUUUUUUUUUCAUAUUCUGUAUUGCGAUAUUUAUCAAAUGCUGAUCUAGUAUAAUAUUGUUAUCCUGAUCGGCAGUAGAAUUAAGUGUCAAAUUUGUUUAGUACUGUCACAGAGAAAUGUUGGUACACCAGUGUGAUGACAGAUAUAUCCCUCUGACUAUUUGACCCAUCGUUCAGUUUCAAUGAUUCACACAGUUAGAAAUUGGAAAGACCCAAUGGUUCUGUCUUGUCACAUUGAAAGUAAAGGAAUUAUCCCGACACAUCAAGUAUUUACAGACUCUUCCAAGACGGUCUCGGCAUAGCCAACUAUUCAUAUUGGCCUAACUUAUACUACCGUUGAAAAGUUUGGCGUCACUUAGAAAUGUCCUUGUUUUUGAAAGAAAAACACAUUUUUUUUGUCCAUUUAAAAUAACAUAAAAUUGAUCAGAAAUACAGUGUAGACAUUGUUAAUGUUGUAAAUGACUAUUGUAGCUGGAAACAGAUGAAGGCCAGCAUCCCGGAGUCGCCUCUUCACUGUUGACAUUGAGACGGGUGUUUUGAAGGUACUAUUUAAUGAAGCUGCCAGUUGAGGACUUGUGAAGCGUCUGUUUCUCAGACUAGACAUUCUAAUGUACUUAUCCUCUAGCUCAGUUGUGCACUGGGGCCUCCCACUCCUCUUUCUAUUCUGGUUAGAGACAGUUUGCUGCACUGUUCUGUGAAGGGAGUAGUACACAGCAUUGUACGAGAUCUUCAGUUUCUUGGCAAUUUCUCGCAUGGGAUAUCAUUUCUCAGAACAAGAAUAGACCGACGAGUUUCAGAAGGAAGUUCAUUGUUUCUGGCUAUUUUGAGCCUGUAAUCGAACCAACAAAUGCUGAUGCUCCAGAUACUCAACUAGUCUAAAGAAGGCCAGUUUUAUUUCUUCUUUAAUUAGCACAACAGUUUUCAGCUGUGCUAACAUAAUUGCAAAAGUGUUUUCUAAUGAUCAAUUAGCCUUUUAAAAUGAUAAACUUGGAUUAGCUAACACAACGUGCCAUUGGAACACAGUAUUUCUGAUCAAUUUGAUGUUAUUUUAAUGGACAAAAAGUGUGCUUUUCUUUCAAAAACAAGGACAUUUCUAAGUGACCCCAAACUUUUGAACGGUAGUGUAAAUGUCCAAAGCAAUAUCUUUGAGUUGAAGAGAAGCUCAGCCUCCAAAAUGAGGUCAUGGUGUGUUUAGUAAGGACUGUAUGACUUUCUGAGGGAGGGAGAGAGAGAGAGAGAGAGAAGGGAAAGGACUAUCUGGGCUGGGGAAGAGACGUUAAGAGACCGGCUUUAGGAUCAUGGGCAAACUGCACGUAUAUACAAGCCCAUAAAAUUGUGGCAUGCUUUGUUGGCAGAGCCAGACGGCGUUCAGACUGCUCUACAUUCGGGGCAUGUGAUGAGAAGGCAGCUGUGCUGUGCCUCCUUUCCCUUCGCAUAGGGAUUUCCCACACUCUGUGUCUCUGGGUUCAAACAACAUACUAUAAGUGUGUAAAAUGCACGCACAUGCAAACACACCCACACAGAGAGGGAGAACAUGAGCAACCAUGUACACAACCACAGAACUAAGCAGUAAGCAUUGCGACCAUAUCCGAUCCGAAAACCCACACAACUACACAAGUUCUACCCAUUACCACAACCUUUUGAUUAUGUUAUCCACAAACCCAGUACUACACUACGGCACACAAUUCAACACAACACCAAAGUAACACUUGUGAUACUCAACCAAGAACACACAUACAUUUACUGUGUCCAUACAUACACAUCAUGAACCAAACCACACAUUUCCUUCACUUCCUACCAAUGGCAAAUAAAGAUCCUUAGAUCCGUUCUCUAGUUGAGUGUCAGAUGUAGAUUAUUAUUUCCAGAAAUGAUUAAAUGCAUGUUCAGUAUCUUCAUGCCAAAAUAUUCUGAACGCCAAGAAAAUAUGAUGUUGCUAAUUUGGUAUUGUCUACAUAUGGACAGUCUGUCAAUGGUAUCAAGACCAGUAAGUUGAUACAGUACCAUAGUAUGAACACAUACUGAUAAUAUGAUGUAAAGUGCCUUCAGAAAGUAUUCACACCCCUUGACUUUUUCCACAUUUUGUUGUGUUACAAAGUGGGAUACAUUUUUUUUUUACAAUAAAAAAAUAAAACACUAAUAUACACUGCAUGAUAUAAAGUAUGUGGACACCUGCUUGUCGAACAUCUCAUUCCAAAAUCAUGGCCAUUAAUAUGGAGUUUGUCCCCCCUUUGCUGCUAUGACAGCCUCCACUCUUCUGGGAAGGCUUUCCACUAGAUGUUGGAACAUUGCUACAGGGACUUGCUUCUAUUCAGCCACAAAAGCAUUAGUGAGAUUGGGCACUGAUGUUGGGCGACUAGGCCUGGCUUGCAGUCAGUGUUCCAAUUCAUCCCAAAGGUGUUCAAUGGAGUUGAGGUCAGGGCUCUGUGCAGGCCAGUCAAGUUCUUCCACACCGAUCUCGACAAGCCAUUUCUGUAUGGACCUUGCUUUGUGUAUGGGGACAUUGUCAUGCUGAAACAGGAAAUGGCCUUUCCCAAACUGUUGCCACAAAGUUGGAAGCACAGAAUUGUCUAGAAUGUAAUUGUUUGCUGUAGCAUUAAGAUAUUCCUUCAUUGGAACUAAGGGGCCAAGCCCGAACCAUAAAAAACAGUCCCAGACUAUUAUUCCUCCUCCACCAAACUUUACAGUUGGCACUAUCCAUUCGGGCAGGUAGUGUUCUCCUGGCAUCCGCCAAACCCAGAUUAGUCCAUCGGACUGCCAGAUGGUGAAGCGUGAUUCAUCACUCCAGAGUCCAAUGGCGGCGAGCUUUACACCACUCCAGCCGACGCAUGGCAUAGAGCAUGGUGAUCUUCGGACAUUGUAACAAUAAUCGACAGCACCAUGGUGAACAAAAGGACACAUAUAUAUACAAAUACCAUCAGUGGGAAUAGGGGUCAGGUGUGCGUAAUGAAAGUUCCAGAGGGAUCCGUGACAAGUUAUGUCCUCAAACACUACAGUCCACAAAAACACUACAGUUUAACUAUAGUAAUAGUACAGUAUUUAAUUUGCAUAUACUCUGCCCAUUCCCCUCCCCCAUAUCCCAAUUUGUGCCACCCAUAAGUGAGAAACCUACAUGCCAAGUAUAGACCAUUUAUUGUGGUCCCUACUGGUUAUAGAAAAGAGCAGAAGCUCUGAACUAUCUGUUCAGACCCCAGUCCUACCAACCUACAGGUUAUAGAAAAGCCACCAUGUUCUAUGUUAAAUAUAAUAAAACAAAAACACUAUAGUAAAAUGUUAGUGUAAACUGUAAAAACAGUAGUACAUACUACAGUGUACUACAGUCUGCAAAAACACUACAGUCCUCAAAAAACAACGGUUUUCCCACUAUAGUAAUAAUACAGUAUUUAAACUAUAGUAUUUUUGAAUGUGGGCCUGACAGAAGAUCAACCACUUCCCUGGCAUGAUGGAGCUGUGCAAGAAGAACAUACUGGCUCGCAACAUUUACCGCAUGCUGAAGAGGUUCCCCAAGGUGUACAACAUCUUCCCCCGCACCUGGUGACGCUCCCAUUAGUCAAUUGGCACUAGCCUGGUUAAAUCAAACUGAAUGCUGCGCUCACCAUCAGGGCAUAAAAUUUACUUUUUGGUCCCCUAGCCACUGUGGCAGGUAGAUGAAAAAAUCUAGCCACUCAGAUUUUUUCCUCCAGACAAAAUAUUUUUUCCCCAGCUAAAAUGACACCAAAAAACACCAAAAAACAUAUGAGCAUGCUCUGUAAUGUUUCUAAAACACUCAAAUGUAUUACUAGUAAGAAGUAACUAAUGUGGUAUAUUGAAUAAUAUAUAUAUAUUUUUUAACCAAAAUAUCACAGAUGGGGGGGAAAAAAGUUAACCGGCCACUUUAAGACCGGGAAGUCACCGUGGUAGCGAGACUCAAGUCAUGUUUGUGCCUGUGUGAUUAAGGCUGCGUUUCAAACUCAUAAAAGACACACCCUCCUCCAUUUACCCUAGCUUUAUGCGCUUGGGGGAAUCCCCACGGCCAUCUUUGUCGUCAGUCCAAACAAUUAGCCAAACAAGGGAAGUUCGCUACGUAAGCCCCUCAACCCUCGUUUUUGAUCGAGUCAAUUAUGUUCACUUCGGAGCCUGAAACGCCCCAUAAUUCAAUUCGCGAUGAUUGUACAUCCGCUAAGAAAAGUCAGCCAAAACUUAAAACCUCAAUGUCAAUACGGAGAAGUUAACAUACAAGUGUAAGUAAAAACUAAGGUAAAUAACUUAGAAAUGUUGCUACUAAUGCACAUGACAGCACAAACACGUCUUGUAAAAGUAAUGAUGUUUUUGUUUGGUUAGCUUUUGGAAAUGGUAUAAAUAAAACAUUUUCCUUCAGAAGUUCCAGCUUGGCAGGCUAACGUUAAUUAAUUUGCUAGCUAUCAUACAGUAGGCGUAUAUUAAUAAUUAUAUAGUUAAUAUAAGUAGACAUGCAAUCCAUAAUUGACUGUAGCGCAUAUAAAGCACCCACAAGCUACCAGUGGCUGAAAACACAAUCGUUGCGGGAUGAACGAGUGACGAAUUUCCGGGCAAGGGCGGUCCAUUUAAAAUGAAUUCCUUCCUCCCUCACCCCUCACCCUUUGCCCUGCAAGUGUAAACUGCGGCUCAGUUGGUAGAGCAUGGUGUUUGCAAUGCCAGCAUGGUGUGUGCAACGCCAGGGCUGUGGGUUCGAUUCCCACGGGGGGCCAGUACAAAAAAAAAAAUUAUGAAAUGUACGCAUUCACUACUAAAAGUCUCUCUGGAUAAGAGUGUCUGCUAAAUGACUAAAAUGUAAAUGUAAUGAUACGUCAUCAGAAGUGUCCACUUAAUUUGAGGGCUGAGGGGAGAGGGGGUGUCUUUUAAGUGUUUGGAAUGCAGCCUAAGUCUGAUUAGUGAAAGUGGUCUUCUCUUCCCUAGCAGUUGAAACUCAAACAUAGAAAAACAACCUAGCUUGUGAACAAAACAAUGUAAAUUAGCCAAGAAACACAAGGACAAAGUCUCGCUGUUGCAGCGCGAGUAGGCUUUAUAGAAUUUCUUUGACUUUGUGAGAUUAAUUUACCAGCUAUGAAACAAAACGGUGCAAAUGCUUUCAAAACAGCUGCUGCAGCAUUUAUUUGACUAUAAAUGUGAUCAUACUUGACUAUUUUUAUUCAGAAAUCAAAUGCUUGCGCUGUGGAGCCUUGACCAACCGCCAGCGUGGCUGGUGAAAUAGACAUCUUACCCGACAAUGCCAAAAUCUACCCAUAUUUGGCAGGUGUUAAUUGUAUGCCCUGCUCACCAUUCAAUCUGGUUUAACCACGCUAGAUUGAUACACCUUUUACAUUAGAUAAUACACCAUUAUCCUUUGAUUGCAUGAUGUCUGUGAAUGAAAAUCCCAAACUCUUUCUUAGAGGACAGAGGGGAGAUGGACAUUAUUGGCCCUGUACCCUGCGGUGUACUUUGGAAUUUGAUAAUGCUUUCUAUUUGUUAUCUAAAUCAAGGUUUCCCAACCAUUUAGGGAUAUCGGGUCUAGACUUUAUUUUCCUUAUUAUUAUUGUUAUUAUUAUUAUUAUUUGUAUGAUUAUUAUUAUUAUUACCAUUAUUAUGUUUUAACAUUAACUAGCCUACCAAAAUAUGUAAUGAGUCUUGUUAAACUACAUAAAAUUGCAGGAAAUGAGCUUAAAAAACAAACAUUUUCCUAGGUCCUUCAAAUUAAAUAAAUUCAAACUGGUGUUUUAUUUAAUAUACGCUAUCUAAAUAUACCACAUUUUUAUGACAUUUUUUUUAUGUGAAAAGGGGGCCCUGGGGAAAAAUGGCUGGGACCCCUGAUUUAAAUAAUUUCUGAAAGUACAAUAGGAGCAGGAUUAACUUUUUUUAUUUUAUUGUACUGCAUUUACAAGAAGAUGUGAAGAAGAUGCAGCUGUGUUGGAAAUGGAUCUAAACAUCUGUGCUUCUUUUUUGGCAACUGAAGCCUUGUCUUUUAUAAUACUGCCUCUUGUAUUUAAACGUCUUUGUUGUGUACCUCCCACUACCGCUCCACAGUUACAGUGACUUCCAGGCCUACACCAGGGCCAAAAAGCACAAGACGUACAGUACCAGUCAAAAGUUUGGACACACCUACUCAUUCAAGGGUUUUUCAAUAUUUUUACUAUUUUCUACAUUGUAGAAUAAUAGUGAAGACAUCAAUACUAUGAAAUCACACUUAUGGAACACUUAUUUCAUACUUGUGAUGUCUUCACUAUUGUUCUACAAUGUAGAAAAUAGUAAUAAUAAAGCAAAACCCUUGAAUGAGUAGGUGUGUCCAAAAGUUUGACUGGUACUGUACAUCUGCAAGGCGGACACGGGCAGCCAGGGCCGUGACAUCUACCUCACCAAGUCCACCAAAGACUUCCCACACGGAGAGCACAUGAUCUGCCGGAUCUACAUCUUCAGGGCAUGACUGUAGUCUCAUGUACUGCAACAAAUAAUAACAUAGUGCAUAGAUCUGUGGUUUUCAACCUGUGGUCCUUAGGGCUACUGCAGGUGGUCGUGGUUUUUAAAAUAGUAUUUCUUCCUAAAAUAACAACAUUUGGGAAUAUUAAUGGUAUAAUAAGCCAUUUUAAAUAGCGUUUAACAAUGCAGAUUGUUUAUCAUUAUAAUAAUAAUAAUAAUAGGCCUUUAAACUUUUACAUUCACUGAUAAAAUGUACUCUAAAUUGUAUUUAUUUAAAAUUCUGCAUCUGCGCGAAUGGUGGUCCACAAACUUUUGACUGUGGUCCCCGGAACGGAAAACUUUGGGAACCAAUAGAUGUAUGUGGCUCCUGUUCCUAUUCUAUUCAAUGUUAUUGAAUAUAUUCCAUAAUAUCCAGUAACUGGAGUUGCCAGGGAAGGCGAAACAGGCAUUUUCUCAACCUGUCUUGUCAUAUCUCCAGAUAUUCUACUUUGUCUCAGCCUCUUGUUCCUCUCUGCCACCACAAGCAGCCAUUGGUCAUUGACGGCUUCACGUUUGACCUGCGCAGCUACGUGCUGGUGAUUUCUGCGACCCCCUUCCGUAUCUUCCUGUAUAAGGAGCAGCUGGCCCGCUUCUGCACCCGCCACUUCAACUACUCCACCCGCAACAACGUGGUGCGGCACGGCACAACCACAGGAGAGGGCAACGUGUUUUACAUUGUGUGCUUCUCAUGUUUAUUUCAAUGUCAUUGGUCUUUUAUGUUCGUACUGUGUAGUUUUGUUAGGGAUCGUAUUUAAAGUUUCAAGUUUUUUAUGCCACGUGCACAAGUACAGUGAAAUGCCUUUCUGGCAAGCUCUAAACCCAACAAUGCAGUAUUCAAUAUUAAUAUAGUGCUACAAAUAACAUAAGGUCAAACAAACACACAAGAUAUUAAAAUAAGAGCACGAGAAGUAAUUAAGCUAUAUACAGGGUCAGUUCCAAUACCAGAUUUACAAUGUGCAGGGAUACUGGAGUGAUAGAGGUAGAUAUGUAUAGGGGUAAGAUGACUAGGCCUCAGGAUACAAUAUAUGAUAAACAGUGUAGCAGCAUAUGAUGAUUGUACUGUAUGUGAGUGUGUGUAAAUGUGCCAGUCUAAAUGUGUGUGCAUGUUAUGUGUGUGUGAGCAAAUUAAGUGUGUGUGAGUGUGCAUAGAGACAGUGCAAAAAUAAAAUGAAUGUAUAGUACAAUGUAGGAUAGAAGUGGUAACAUUUGUUUUCAUCAGGAAAUUGAUAUGUUGUACAUCAUCAGUAUGUUCUAAACGUGUUCAAGGGGACAGAGACAGACAGGAACACACUCAAACACAGACACGCAGGCAGACGGACUUAGAUAAGAUAGACGUCUGUCUUUGAACUCAGUGGGUGUGUUCAAUCUUGCUCCUCUCAAACCGUAUUUGUUUACCAGUGAUAUGGCCCCAUUGAUGACUCAAGCUACUGUUUUACAAGCUCUUGUCAUAAAAGACUUAGCAUGGGCCGACAUCGAGGAUGUGGUGAUCAAGGCUCUGGUCUCAGCCCACUCAGUGCUCCACCACAGCUACCACACCUGCUUCUCGCACAACACCACCACCAGUUCUCUGCCCCCGAGCCUGCCUGCCAUCCUGCACCUGCCUGACUCUGACCUGAUCACGUACCACGUACCUCUGCCUGCCCUCUGCCUGCCCUGUGUUUCUAAUAAAUAAUCUGAGAACUGUACUAUCCGCCUCCCGUGUCUGCAUCUGGGUCAUAUCCUGAGUCUGAUAGUACAAACUGGCCAUGACUGACCCAGCAGACUCUUACCGGCUCUGCAGCGCCAUCUUCUCCCAGGGAGCCACCAUUGGAAGACACAACGAGUUACUUAAAGUACUUAUGGAAGGAUUCCAGACCUUGGCGGUACACCAGGACCGUGCCCUCAACACAUUGCUGGAACAAUUCCUCGGAUUGUCUGUGAGGCAGCCCGCCACUACAGUAAUCCCCCAGACUGUCAAUUACCCCACUACCACUGGCGUUUUUCCCCAAUCUACCCUGGCUUCCCAAGAACCCUGCAUACCUCCUCCGGAUCGCUACGCUGGAGAUCCCGGAUUCUGCCGGGCAUUUCUCUCCCAGUGUUCUCUCAUAUUUGAGCUGCAGCCCUCUUCAUUUGCAUGCUACCCUGGUGUCGGAGCAGGGAAUCCCCACACAACCCCUCUCCAUUCCCAUGGACAUCAGAGUGUCGGAUGGGCGCUCUAUUGGCAGAGUCACCCACACCACGUGUCCCAUUAACCUGAGAGUGUUGGGUAAUCACAGUGAGUUUAUGCAGUUCCUGCCGAUCGAAUCCCCUCAUGCACCUGUGGUUUUGGGGUUUUCCUGGCUCCAGACGCACAAUCACCUGAUCGACUGGGCUACUGGUUCUAUCCUGGGUUGGAGCCCGUUUUGCCAUGGGCAUUGCCAGAAGUUGGCGCUGCCUGCCCCGGGACGUCUUCCUGUGGGCUUGGGAAAAGCCCCGGACCUCUCCCCCGUUCACGCGGAGUACCAGGACCUCCAGGAGGUUUUUAGCAAGGCCCGUGCAAGUGCGCUUCCUCCGCAUUGGCCCUAUGACUGCGCCAUCGACCUUCUCCCGGGUACUACACCGCCUCGGGCGCAGCUUUAUUCCCUGUCAGGUCCGGAGACCAAGACAAUGGACCUGCCCUUUGCCUGCCCUGGCGUUUUGAUGGGUCCCCCCGCGGGACGGAUGAGCUAACAUAGGCUAAUGCGAUUAGCAUGAGGUUGACCAGCACCUGGGCGGCAUCCGCAGGAUCUUCCCCCGCCAGGGAGGGGAGGAGUACGACAAGUACCUCAAACACAGCAGCUCCCUCUUCCAGGAGACAGCUGCCACCAAGGCCAGAGAGAGGUGCACCAGCCUCUGGCCGACUCCGCUCACUUCCUCCCAGGGUGACCCAGGCGCUGAAGGAGGAAGAGGAGGGGGUGGAAGAACGUCUCGGGGCUGCAGCUGAGGGCCAGCCUGCUCAGAGACCUGGGCAGACCAGGUGUACGUCACAAUGCCACCUGUUGUCAAGACUGACUUACGGCAAUAUAUAAGCAACAUGGCAGCCAAGUCAGUGCCUCUCUGAGUAAGCUGGGUAACCACAACAACAGCAGCUCUAACGGGCCCUUUGCUGAAAUGCACGUGCAAGGCCCUCCCCCUAUCACCCUGAGGCCGCCCCACCCAAGGCUGCCCCACCCUCAGGUAUGUGAAGGACCCAGCGAUUGUUUUUGGUAACAAAUGCCACCUCUCUUCAGGUUUUGGGCAAGUUGGUAAGACAAGGUGGGUGAAAUAAGAUUUUCCCACACCUUUGGGGAAACCACAGCAGCUGUCUUAGUCUUCAGCUGUGACCUAGUGUGGACGCAGCGCAAGGCUCUCACUCCAGCAGCCCACUUCCGGCUGCCGCAGCUGUCCAGCGGACACUUUGUGGUGUCGUAGGGAGUGAGGAAGAUAUACCAGGCUACAGACCAGACUGUGGUCAACCGCUGUGAUUAGGCAGAACACCAGACCAGGAAGCACCUCGUCGACAACAAGGCCAUCGACCACGAUCACUUAAGGGACCUGCUCAAAGAAGAAGCUAUGGACUUAGAUAACGGCAAGUCUGCUGACCCUUCCAUGAACCAGCCAAACCAGCCGAUCUGAGACUCGUUGAGACUAUGUUGUACAGGUCAACAUAACUACAGGCAUGCUUGUGGAUUGCAUGCUGACACUUGUUUUUACUCUGCCAAGAUGAUUUUGUCCAGAUGAGAAUGUGGAUGGAACAUUGGUUCAUCUAUCAAGCCUCAUCAAGAGACGUUACUCCUCAAUAAUAAUACCUACAUGUUUCAAGCAGACCACCAAGGAAGUGAAGGUAACCUGCCUAAAUGAUUACUGCACCGUGGCACUCACGUCGGUAGCCAUGAAGUGCUUUGAAAGGCUGGUCAUGGCUCACAUCAACAGUAUCCUCCCGGACACCCUAGACCCACUCCAAUUCACAUACUGCUCCAACAGAUCCACAGAUGACGCAAUCUUAAUCGCACUCCACACUGCCCUUUCUCACCUGGACAAAAGGAACACCUAUGUGAGAAUGCUGUUCAUUGACUACAGCUCAGCGUUCAACACCAUAGUGCCCACGAAGCUCAUCACUAAGCUAAGGACUCUGGGACUAAACAACUCCCUCUGCAACUGGAUCCUGGACAUCCUGAUGGGCCGCCCCCAGGUGGUAAGAGUAGGCAACAACAUGUCUGCCACGUCGAUCCUUAACACUGGUGCCCCUCCUGUAUUCCCUGUUCUCCCACGACUACGUGGCCAAACACGACUCCAACACCAUCAUUAAGUUUGCUGAUGACACAACAGUGGUAGGCCUGAUCACCGACAACGAUGAGACGGCCUAUAGGGAGGAGGUCAGAGAACUGGCAGUGUGGUGCCAGGACAACAACCUCUCCCUCAAUGUGAGCAAGACUAAGGAGCUGAUUGUGGACUAUAGGAAAAGGCGGCCGAACAGGCCCCCAUUAACAUCGACAGGGCUGUAGUGGAGCGGGUCGAGAGUUUCAAGUUCCUUGGUGCCCAUAUCACCAACAAACUAUCAUGGUCCAAACAUACCAAGACAGUCUUGAAGAGGGCACGACAAUACAUUUUCCCCCUCAGGAGACUGAAAAGAUUUGGCAUGAGUCCCAAGAUCCUCAAAAGGUUCUACAUCUGCACCAUCGAGAGCAUCCUGACCGAUUGCAUCACCGCCUGGUAUGGCAACUGCUUGGCAUCUGACCGUAAGGCGCUGCAGAGGGUAGUGCGAACGGCCCAGUACAUCACUGGGGCCAAGCUUCCUGCCAUCCAGGACCGAUAUAAUAGGCGUGUCAGAGGAUAGUCCAUACAAUUGUCAGAGACUCCAGUCACCCAAGUUAUCGACUGUUUUUUCUGCUACCGCACGGCAAGCGGCACCGGAGCGCCAAGUCUAGGACCAAAAGGCUCCUCAAUGUCAUCUACCCCCAAGCCAUAAAUUCAUAAAAUCGCCACCGGACAAUUUACAUUGAUUCCCCCCCACUCCCUUUUGUACACUGCUACUACUCGCUGUUUGUUUGUUACCUAUGCAUAGUCACUUCGCCCCUACCUACAUGUACAGAUUACCUCAUAGCCUGUACCCCCGCACACUGACUCUAUACCGGUGCCCCCUGUAUAUAGCCUCGUUAUUAUUAUUCUUGUUGUGUUACUUUUUAUUAUUACUUUUUUUAUUUUAGUUUACUUGGUAAAUAUUUUCUUCUUCUUUGACUGCACUGUUGGUUAAGGGCUUGUACAGUUGAAGUUGGAGGUUUACAUACACCUUAGCCAAAUACAUUUAAACUCAGUUUUUCACAAUUCUUGACAUUUUAAUCCUUGUAAAAAUUCCCUGUCUUAGGGCAGUUAGAAUCACCACUUUAUUUUAAGAAUGUGAAAUAUCAGAAUAAUAGUAGAGAGAAUGAUUUAUUUCAACUUUUAUUUCUUUCAUCACAUUCCCAGUGAGUCAGAAGUUUACAUACACUCAAUUAGUAUUUGGUAGCAAUGCCUUUACAUUGUUUAACUUGGGUCAAGCGUUUCGGGUAGCAUUCCACAAGCUUCCCACAAUAAGUUGGGUGAAUUUUGGCCCAUUCCUCCUGACAGAGCUGGUGUAACUGAGUCAGGUUUGUAGGCCUCCUUGCUCGCACACGUUUUUUCAGUUCUGCCCACAAAUUUUCUAUAGGAUUGAGGUCAAGGCUGUGUGAUGGCCACUCCAAUACCUUGAUUUUGUUGUCCUUAAGCUAUUUUACCACAACUUUGGAAGUAUGCUUGGGGUCAUUGUGCAUUUGGAAGACCCAUUUGCGAGCAAGCUUUAACUUCCUGACUGAUGUCUUGAGAUGUUGCUUCAAUAUAUCCACAUAAUUUUCCAUCCUCAUGAUGCCAUCUAUUUUGUGAAGUGCACCAGUCCCUCCUGCAGCAAAGCACCCCCACAACAUGAUGCUGCCACCUCCGUGCUUCCCGGUUGGGAUGGUGUUCUUCGGCUUACAAGCCUCCCCCCUUUUCCUCCAAACAUAACAAUGGUCAUUAUGGCCAAACAGUUCCAUUUUUGUUUCAUCAGACCAGAGGACAUUUCUCCAAAAUGUACGAUCUUUGUCCCCAUGUGCAGUGGCAAACCGUAGUCUGGCUUUUUUAUGGCGGUUUUGGAGCAGUGGAUUCUUUCUUGCUGAGCGGCCUUUCAGGUUAUGCCGAUAUAGGACUCACUUUACUGUGGAUAUAGAUACUUUUGUACCUGUUUCCUCCAGCAUCUUCACAAGGUCCUAUGCUGUUGUUCUGGCAUUGAUUUGCACUUUUCGCACCAAAGUACGUACAUCUCUAGGAGACAGAACGCAUCUCCUUCCUGAGCUGUAUGGUGGCUGCGUGGUCCCAUGGUGUUUAUACUUGCGUACUAUAGUUUGUACAGAUGAACGUGGUACCUUCAGGCGUUUGGAAAUUGCUCCUAAGGAUGAACCAGACUUGUGGAGGUCUACAAUUUUUUUUCUGAGGUCUUGGCUGAUUUCUUUUGAUUUUCCCAUUAUGUCAAGCAAAGAGGCACUGAGUUUGAAGGUAGGCCUUGAAAUACAUCCACAGGUACACCUCCAAUGGACUCAAAUGAUGUCAAUUAGCCUAUCAGAAGCUUCUAAAGCCAUGCCAUCAUUUUCUGGCAUUUUCCAAGCUGUUUAUUGGCACAGUCAACUUAAUGUAUGUAAACUUCUGACCCACUGGAAUUGUGAUACAGUGAAAUAAUCUGUUUGUAAACAAUUGUUGGAAAAAUUACUUGUGUCAUGCACAAAGUUAGAUGUCCUAACCGACUCACCAAAACUGUAGUUUGUUAACCUGUUGGGGCUAGGGGGCAGUAUUUGCACGGCUGGAUAAAAAAAUGUACCCGAUUUAAUCUGGUUACUAAUCCUACCCAGUAACUAGAAUAUGCAUAUACUUAUUAUAUAUGGAUAGAAAACACUCUAAAGUUUCUAAAACUGUUUGAAUGGUGUCUGUGAGUAUAACAGAACUCAUUUGGCAGGCAAAACCCUGAGACAUUUUCUGACAGGAAGUGGAUACCUGAUGUGUUGUAUUACCUUUAAACCUAUGCCAUUGAAAAACACAGGGGCUGAGGAAUAUUUUGGCACUUCCUAUUGCUUCCACUAGAUGUCACCAGCCUUUACAAAGUGUUUUGAGUCUUCUGGAGGGAGAUCUGACCGAACAAGAGCCAUGGAACGAUGAUGGCCCAUUAGACACC
rnacentral:lncRNA from 1 species